rnacentral:rRNA from 1 species
CAAUUCUCUGCCACCGAAUACAUUAGCAUGGGAUAAUGGAAUAGGACCCUGUCCUCCUAUUUUCAGUUGGUUUUGGCAGCGCGAGGACUAGGGUAAUGAUUAAUAGGGAUAGUUGGGGGCAUUAAUAUUUAAUUGUCAGAGGUGAAAUUCUUGGAUUUAUGAAAGAUUAACUUCUGCGAAAGCAUCUGCCAAGGAUGUUUUCAUUAAUCAAGAACGAAAGUUAGGGGAUCGAAGACGAUCAGAUACCGUCGUAGUCUUAACCAUAAACGAUGCCGACCAGCGAUUAGGAGACGUUGAAUACAAAACACCACCAUCGGCGCGGUCGUCCUUGGCGUGUCUCGGCUUCACGGCUGGGGCGCGCGAGGGCGGUUUAGCCCGGUGGCACCGGUGAAUGACUCCCU